rnacentral:rRNA from 1 species
UCCGGUUGAUCCUGCCGACCCGACUGCUAUUUGGGUGAGAAUAAGCCAUGCGAGUCGAAUGGGAUACCUAAAUUUCCCAUGGCAAACUGCUCAUUAACACAUGAUCAACUUACCCUAUAGAGAAAAAUAACCUCGGGAAACUGAGGAUAAUAUUUCGUAGUUGAAUAGGCUUGGAAAAGUUUUUCAAUAAAAGGGAUAAAAAAAAUGGUUUUUAUCUGCUAUAGGAUAGGAUCGUGGACGAUUAUGGUUGUUGGUGAGGUAACGGCUCACCAAGCCGAUAAUCGAUAGGGGCCGUGAGAGCGGGAGCCCCGAGAUGGGUACUGAGACAACGACCCAGGCCUUACGAGGCGCAGCAGGCGCGGAACCUCCGCAAUACACGAAAGUGUGACGGGGUUACCCAAAGUGUUCAAUUCUGAACUGUGGUAGGUGAGUAAUGUUCCCUACUAGAAAGGAGAGGGCAAGGCUGGUGCCAGCCGCCGCGGUAAAACCAGCUCUUCAAGUGGUCGGGAUAAUUAUUGGGCUUAAAGUGUCCGUAGCCGGUUUAGUAAGUUCCUGGUAAAAUCGGGUAGCUUAACUAUCCGUAUGCUAGGAAUACUGCUAUACUAGAGGGCGGGAGAGGUCUGAGGUACUACAGGGGUAGGGGUGAAAUCUUAUAAUCCUUGUAGGACCACCAGUGGCGAAGGCGUCAGACUGGAACGCGCCUGACGGUGAGGGACGAAAGCCAGGGGAGCAAACCGGAUUAGAUACCCGGGUAGUCCUGGCCGUAAACGAUGCAUACUAGGUGAUGGUACGGUCAUGAGCCGUAUCAGUGCCGUAGGGAAACCGUUAAGUGUGCCGCCUGGGAAGUACGGUCGCAAGGCUAAAACUUAAAGGAAUUGGCGGGGGAGCAC